AGCGAACGCUGGCGGCAGGCCUAACACAUGCAAGUCGAACGAACUCUUCGGAGUUAGUGGCGGACGGGUGAGUAACACGUGGGAACGUGCCUUUUGGUUCGGAAUAACUCAGGGAAACUUGUGCUAAUACCGAAUGUGCCCUUCGGGGGAAAGAUUUAUCGCCAUUAGAGCGGCCCGCGUCUGAUUAGCUAGUUGAUGAG
rnacentral:rRNA from 1 species